rnacentral:rRNA from 1 species
AACGAACGCUGGCGGCAUGCCUAACACAUGCAAGUCGAACGAGACCUUCGGGUCUAUUGGCGCACGGGUGCGUAACGCGUGGGAACCUGCCCUUAGGUUCGGAAUAACUCCCCGUAAGGUGUGUUAAUACCGGUUAAUGUCUUCGGACCAAAGAUUUAUUGCCUUUGGAUGGGCCUGCGUUGGAUUAGCUAGUUGGUAGGGUAAUAGCCUACUAUGGCGACGAUACAUAGCUGGUCUGAGAGGAUGAUCAGCUAGACUGGGAGUGAGACACGGCCCAGACUCGGACGGGAGGCAGCAGUAGGGAAUAGUAGAGGAUGGACGACAGCCUGAUCAAGCCAUGCCGCGUGAGUGAUGAAGGCGUUAGGGUUGUAAAGCUCUUUUACCCGGGAUGAUAAUGACAGUACCGGGAGAAUAAGCUCCGGCUAACUCCGUG